GACGAACGCUGGCGGCGUGCUUAACACAUGCAAGUCGAGCGGUAAGGCCCUUUCGGGGGUACGACGAGCGGCGGAACGGGUAGGAGUAACACGUGGGUGGACCUCGCCUUUACGUCUCUGGGAGUAAGUCCGUCGGGGAAACCGGGGUACCUAAUAACCGGACGUAUGACUCCGCGGCGCAUGUUGUGGGGUGGGAAAGCCUCGUGCGGCU
rnacentral:rRNA from 1 species